CCUACGGGUGGCAGCAGUGAGGAAUAUUGGUCAAUGGGCGAUAGCCUGAACCAGCAAAGUCGCGUGAAGGAUGACGGCCCUAUGGGUUGUAAACUUCUUUUAUAGGGGAGUAAAUGGCAGUAUGUAUAGUAUUAGCACUGGAUAAUUCCGAUAAAGCAGCGGCGGUAAUACGGAGGGUGCCAGCGUUAUUCGGAAUGAAUGGGCGUAAAGCGGGCGUAGGCGGGGUAAUAAGUCAGAUGGGAAAUUCUGUAGCUUAACCACAAAACUGCAGUUGAAACUGUCAUCCUGGAGUUUGGUAGAGGUAGGCGGAAUUCGUGGUGUAGCGGUGAAAUGCGUAGAGAUCACGAAGAACUCUGAUUGCGAAGGCAGCCUGCUGGACCGUAACUGACGCUGAUGCACGAAAGCGUGGGUAUCAAACAGGAUUAGAUACCCUUGUAGUC
rnacentral:rRNA from 1 species